rnacentral:rRNA from 1 species
AAAAGAAACCAACAGGGAUUGCCCUAGUAACGGCGAGUGAAGCGGCAACAGCUCAAAUUUGAAAUCUGGCCUUCGGGUCCGAGUUGUAAUUUGCAGAGGAUGCUUUGGGCGCGGUGCCUUCCGAGUUCCCUGGAACGGGACGCCUUAGAGGGUGAGAGCCCCGUACGGUUGGACACCAAGCCUCUGUAAAGCUCCUUCGACGAGUCGAGUAGUUUGGGAAUGCUGCUCUAAAUGGGAGGUAAAUUUCUUCUAAAGCUAAAUAUUGGCCAGAGACCGAUAGCGCACAAGUAGAGUGAUCGAAAGAUGAAAAGCACUUUGAAAAGAGGGUUAAAUAGCACGUGAAAUUGUUGAAAGGGAAGCGUUUACGACCAGACCUUUUCGCAGCGGAUCAUCCGGUGUUCUCACCGGUGCACUUCGCUGGGUUGAGGCCAGCAUCGGUUUCCGCAGGGGGAUAAAAGCCUGGGGAACGUAGCUCCCUCGGGAGUGUUAUAGCCCCUCGCAUAAUACCCUUGCGGGGACCGAGGACCGCGCUUCGGCAAGGAUGCUGGCGUAAUGGUCGUCAACGACCCGUCU